CUCCUAUGGAAUAUAAUAUGUGCCUAAAUGCUACUGAAACAGGAUCCAGCAGAACAACUCUAUUUGCUCUAAUGGUGACAACUUUUACCCUCUAACAAACUAACAGAUUCCGGAGAACGUGAGAUUGGAUGCUCAUUCAUCAAAACUCAUUUUGAUUGUGAAAGUAGUACUUUUGAAGACGUGGCCAGGGGGAGAAGAGUUUCCAGCCAGAGUUCCAAUAAAUUGUUGAAUCUGCAAAGAGGAGGACUGACUGAUACGUCUAAGUUGCCUCAACUUGGACUACAUGUGCGGCAAAUUGGAACUUUACAUCUGUUGGGGAAAUGCCUUAGCUACGAUUUAAGAUCUACUGAAGACCUGCCAAAGUUGUAAAAUGGGUUUCUCAAGUAUCACAAAACCCUGACAUGGAGCGUCCCAGAUAGGUAAG